ensembl:lncRNA
CCGCGCUGCCGUCCCUGGCGUUUCCCCCACUGACAGAGCCGACCGCGGCACGACCUCCUGCUUCUCAGCGCGGGUGGCGGCCGCCACUCAUGCCCCGGAGCGGCCUCUGAAGGGGGAAGGCGAUGGGAGACGGGGGCGUAGAAAAAAGUAAAGACAAGAAAGCGGGAGGGGACCGCAGCGCCGCCACCGCCGCCAGCCACUCCGCAAACUUUCCGCCACCUCAGCCCGCCUCCGCGCGGCCGGGGGAGCCCCGAGUACGGCCCGCCCCGCUGCAGCCCCCUCCCCGUGCCAUGUGACUGCCGCGGCCGGGCGCCGCGGGGCUGGGGUGCGGGAUGGUGGCCUGGGGCGCGGGUGGGCCGGUAUCGUGCCCCACUGCUGUCAGGCCUUGGCGGUGGCACCCCCGGGCCCCCGCCCCGGGCCACAGCACAUGGCCGGCGUCGCAGCACGGCGGGCGCUGCUGUGGGAUUUUGCUGCCGUCCUCGGCCUCUCCAUGGGCGGGCGGGUGCGAGCAGCGGGCCCUAUGUGCCCUGUGCGUCACCCACCACGCCUGGGCCGAGGUGAGAAGGCGCGGGCGCCAUGGCCGCGCUCGCGCGGGGUUUCCCUUGGCCAUCACACCAGGUAGCGUGUGUUGUGGUAAUCCAGAAGCUGCUCCAGAGGCCCCAACGGCGUCCCAGCCAAGCCUGGGGUCACUGGCAUGUAAAAGGAUCCCGGCUCCAAAGGUUCAGGGAAGUGGGCAGGACGUACAGAUUCCACAUCUCUGAGGGAGAUUGAGUCUCCUCAGAAGUCUUAAUGGGUGAUUCUGCACCUCACAUGAACAUUGCAAGCUCUGGCAGCCCUCAGUUCCAGGAGUCUCUUCUUCAUUGGUUUUAGGUUGAAUGUGCACUGUGACUGUACAUAAGCAAAUACAAGUCUCACCUUCACAAAUCUGGCUGGACUAUAUAGUAUAAGCUUAAAAGUAAGCUUGUAUCAAGAGGUCUCCCAUUCAUCUACCCUGUUAUCUCCACAUGUAGCAAGGAACUUCUGGUGACCAUUCCCUGGCAUCAGCAUUAGCACAACUGCAGAUUCACCAGGAUUAGGGGACUGAUUUGACUGAAAUGCCUUAAAAAUAGUAACACCACACAUGCACACACACACAGACACUUUAAUUCUAAGUUGGAACAAUUUCCUUAUCCAGUUUUCCAUGUAAGUGCACGAGAAAGAGACUUUACUCAUCGUUAUGCAAAGGCAGGUCCUUUCCAUGACAGCCUGAAUACAGGUCAGCCUGGGGCAAUGAUGUUGAGGAGGGGGAAGGAUGGCUGCAGAGAAAAAUUCUUGUAAAACUAGACCCUCAAGCUCUCUCUUUGGCUAACAAAAUUAGUUUCCUCCACAACACUACCAAGCAUAAUCCUGUGGAUGAGUUGGGAGUGGAGGACAGGAGAUUGUGUAGUGAGAUAUAGCCCACUGUUUUGGAUGUUAUGGCUUGAUUCUAAUGGUAUCAUUUUCAGUCUCUGAUUAUUUUAAAUCAGAUAAACACAGGUUUACAGAUUCAAGUCCAAACAUAGUUGUUUAAAAUAUGUAUUCACUUCAGGGAAAAGACACACCCAGAAGCUGUCUAAGUAAGAUUUUUUGCAUAUCAUUAACGCACUGAAAUCUACUUCCAGAAAAGGUCAACCCUAAAUCAGACUGGGUUUAGCAGAUUAUUAACAAUAAUUUACCUAUUGCUAAAUUAGGCAAAACUUAAUUAAGGUACUAUACAUUUUCUGUUCUGAAUUCAAAUUGGAAUAUCUUUCAUAACAUUAGGGUUCAGCUAAUCUAAUUACAGGUUUUUUAUUCAUUUUGCAAAAGGAUCUCAAGUAAUUACAUCAGACAAUUACAUAUAGUUGUAUAUAGUUGUGUGUAGUUAGAUCUGCAGGAUUAACAUCAGAAAGUCAAAAGGACUGAACAGUUACAUCUACUAAAUACUAAGUGAUUUCGUCCACCAAGACCACCUCAGGAAUUAAAAGUGUUGCCGUGUACUCCUGGAUCACCUUGUAAUCCAAAUCUGUGUCUAGUAUUCAUUUUGGAUUUUCUACUUUUCAUGGGUAAAUGAAGUGAUCUGGAUAGGGUUCAGCAGCAAAAAGCAGAAGCAAAGCAGAAUAACAUUGCUUAGACUCUGACCCAUCUCACUUCUGAUAGAGUGAGAUAAAAACCAAUGGCCCAUCUAUUUACUUUCCUGUCAGUAAAUGACCCUGUAGGAGCAUUGGCAGAAUUAAUGUCCUGUCUAUUUAUUCCUAAACUUUCACAGUUCAGUUUUAUUUAUUGUCGAAGAAGAUGUUUAGGGCUAUCUGAGAGAAGGAAAUGAAGACUUCAUGCUCUCAAGAUCAUUACUGCCUGUUGGAGAUUCACCAAUUUAGUCCACUAAAAAGAGUAAUCUUAAGGCUGACAAAAUUUUUUUUAUAAAACCACAGCUGAAGGAUGAGAUGAACCAUUUAGACCCAUCCUGCUUAUAAAACAAAAGUGGAGCAGGACAUGCUUUUUGUGCAGGUUGCUUGCCUAUGUGAAAUACGUUGCAAUAGGCAGAAGCAAUUUUUGCCUCAGACACUGGUCUGGAAGUUACUAAAGAGUGCCACAAACCUUCUUAUUGUGUGUAAACAAUAAUUACAUCCAAUAUAAUGGAAUAUUUUUCAUGGAAAUUACUCUAAAUGAAGAGCUUUUCUAUCUUCCUUUGCUUCUGCCCAUUUGGUAUUGCAAUUGAUACUACUUUUAGAUUAUAGUAAGACUAAGACUUCAUGACUAUUUGUUUCAAACGCUGUGAUUAACCAUUACAAUUUAAUUUCCAUUUGAGAAAAAUAAUAAAAUAUUCUUAAAUAAUUUCCUAGUAAUUGUG